rnacentral:rRNA from 1 species
CAGUAGCCGCGGUAAUACGAAGGGUGCAAGCGUUAAUCGGAAUUACUGGGCGUAAAGCGUGCGUAGGCGGUGAAUUAAGUCUGCUGUGAAAUCCCCGGGCUCAACCUGGGAAUGGCAGUGGAUACUGGCUCGCUAGAGUGUGUCAGAGGAUGGUGGAAUUCCCGGUGUAGCGGUGAAAUGCGUAGAGAUCGGGAGGAACAUCAGUGGCGAAGGCGGCCAUCUGGGACAACACUGACACUGAGGCACGAAAGCGUGGGGAGCAAACAGGAUUAGAUACCCGUGUAGUCCCUGUCUCUUAUAC